CAGGCAAUUGAACUGUUCUUCAACCUCAGCACUCUGCUAAACUAAUAGCUAUUGCUGUUACAAUUACAUAGUGUAGCAUGAAAUGUGACCGUAGAAAGAAGAUAGACUUUACUUAUAAACCUUAUACUGAGAGAAUUAUUGCGCCAGCAUGCCAAUCGUUUACGAAUUAAAUCUUUAUAUAUCACUGAAGCAUUGAUCGGCUUCGAAACAGGGAACCGAGUCAGUGCGAGUCCUUCCUUCCACCACGCCACGAGCCAGUGUCCUCAGAUGUGUUGUGGGGUGGGGUACGUGCGUGUCCGACUCUUCACUGUCUUUAAGGCUUAUUUACGGACUACCGAAGCGUUAUAUGAAGCCUGUUGCUAAGAGCUUGCAGGACUCCCCGCGCUCGCAGCUGCACGUCACACCGCCGCCGUCAGGGGAUGGAUGUUUAUCAAGCCACUGACAACACCGGUGCGUCGUUUUCUGAGAGGACGCUGCCUAUUCCUAGGUGUCUGUGAGUUGCAGAGGCCACGUUGCAUGUUUAAUAGACAUGUAAUUCAAGUCGUCGGUCUCUAAUCCAGGAAGAGCUGCGGAUCACUGGGAGAGAAGUAAUUCCAGUGCACGGAAGGCUAACAAAGGAUGACCAUGACAAUAAAACGAGAUCUGUGGAGAAGCCGCUGCAGUCAAAGGUUAAAGUCACUUGUGUUCCUCGGAGCACGAGAAGGCGAUCACCAUGACGACGCGGUGACCAGACAACCGCCUUCAGGUUCCGCCAACGCUUAAUAUUUUUUUUUUUUUACCACAUUUCACCAGGAAGUUUGGAGGUCCUUGCAUGUUCCUCAUUAACCCAAAGUUGGAUUGUUACUUAGGUAAAGUGCAGCACCUGGAGGUAACGUGAGCCCUGAAGAAAGUGGAAGAAAGUGUUGUUCUAAAUAUAUGACCUUGUUCACUGUCCCAUGACUCGCUCCUGCUUCAGUGUACGAACGUUCUGAAGUGUACCACGGAUGCGCCUCGACGUUGUGGCUGGAAAUUUAAGGAAAUGCGAAAAAAAAAAAAAAUGUCAAUGAUUAUAUUGUUUAUCACACCACGAUACACCGCAGGAAUUAUUUAAGUCUACCAACGAUGCACCUCAACUUUGUGGCUGGGAAAAUUAAGAGGAUGCAGAGAAAACUGGCAUGUUAUAUACUUUUUUUUUUCUUCUCAACACCAUGUACCACGGAUAUUCUUUACAGUGUACCACUAAUGUACCUCGAUCGUGUGACUGGGAAAUGAAGUGAAUGCAGAAAUAAUAUCUUGCUAUAUAGAUUUUCACAGCACAAUAUGCCGCAGAUUUUUUUUUUUUUUUUUUAGUGUACGAAUAAUGCACGUCGACCUUGGCUGGCUUGGAGAUUAAGAAAAUGCACAAAAAUUUCAUGUUGUAUAUAUAUUUUUUUUUUUUCCAAUGCCAUACACUCCAUAAUUGUUUUACUGAAGUGCACCACCUAUUCACGUCUACCCUGUGGCUGGGAAAGUAAGAAAAAGGAAGAAAAAAUGUUGUAAAGGUUAUCUAAUCUUCCUGAACACGAUAUACCGGAGAUGUAAGUACAAAAGAAAAAGAGAGGGACUUUAUGAAGCAAACACAACUCUCCUCCCUACUUUUUCACUACUCCAGUAAUGCA